rnacentral:rRNA from 1 species
GAUGAACGCUGGCGGCGUGCCUAAUACAUGCAAGUCGAGCGAACAGACGAGGAGCUUGCUCCUCUGACGUUAGCGGCGGACGGGUGAGUAACACGUGGAUAACCUACCUAUAAGACUGGGAUAACUUCGGGGAACCGGAGCUAAUACCGGAUAAUAUAUUGAGCCGCAUGGUUCAACAGUGAAAGACGGUUUUGCUGUCACUUAUAGAUGGAUCCGCGCCGCAUUAGCUAGUUGGUAAGGUAACGGCUUACCAAGGCAACGAUGCGUAGCCGACCUGAGAGGGUGAUCGGCCACACUGGAACUGAGACACGGUCCAGACUCCUACGGGAGGCAGCAGUAGGGAAUCUUCCGCAAUGGGCGAAAGCCUGACGGAGCAACGCCGCGUGAGUGAUGAAGGUCUUCGGAUCGUAAAACUCUGUUAUUAGGGAAGAACAAAUGUGUAAGUAACUAUGCACGUCUUGACGGUACCUAAUCAGAAAGCCACGGCUAACUACGU